GGGGUCUGCUCGACAAAUCAAAGGAGCAGAUUGGCGAGAGCACCCAUCGAGACAACGAGACUGAGUCCUCCGGUUCAGGGUUUGGCUUCAAGUCCUUCUUGAAAGAGACUGUAAAGAGGUCAGUCCAUGAUGCUGCAGAAUCACGGGGUAUCCAUUUCCCUCACGAAGGCGGUCACCACCACGGUCGCCAUUCCCGAGUCGAGGAUGAAGAAGAAGAAGAAGCAGGGGACGGUCACACGAAGAACCGCUCCCUCCCUCUCUCAACCCUGAUCGAGAUCCUGAAGCAGAAGACCGGGAAGGAAGACAUAGAUGUCGGAAAGCUGAGGCCGACCCUGUUCGACA
rnacentral:misc_RNA from 1 species